AUGUUCAAAUAUCAUUCAAAGUUACAUCAAGCAAGUCACAAACUAGCAUGCUGUUACAUUUGGAAGGUUUACAAAAGGAGAAGAAUUAUAAAGCAUGCUCCUAAAAUUCCUAAAGUGCUAAAUCUUCACGCCUUGCCAAAACAGUCUAGUGUCGUGACCUGUUGCACUCGGAAACUAGCCUCAAAGUCGGGCCAAGCCAUGAUGUUAUGCCUUCAAAACCU